rnacentral:rRNA from 1 species
UACGAAGGGGGCUAGCGUUGUUCGGAAUUACUGGGCGUAAAGCGCGCGCAGGCGGCUAUCCAAGUCAGUGGUGAAAGCCCGGAGCUCAACUCCGGAACUGCCAUUGAAACUGUUUAGCUUGAGUAUGAGAGAGGUGAGUGGAAUUCCCAGUGUAGAGGUGAAAUUCGUAGAUAUUGGGAAGAACACCGGUGGCGAAGGCGGCUCGCUGGCUCAUUACUGACGCUCAGGCGCGACAGCGUGGGGAUCAAACAGG